GUGGGGAAUAUUGGGCAAUGGGGGAAACCCUGACCCAGCAACGCCGCGUGAAGGAAGAAGGCUUUCGGGUUGUAAACUUCUUUUAUGAGGGACGAAGAAGUGACGGUACCUCAUGAAUAAGCCACGGCUAACUACGUACCAGCAGCCGCGGUAAUACGUAGGUGGCAAGCGUUGUCCGGAUUUACUGGGUGUAAAGGGCGCGUAGGCGGGAUAGCAAGUCAGGUGUGAAAUCCGGGGGCUUAACCCUCGAACUGCACUUGAAACUGUUAUUCUUGAGUGAUGGAGAGGCAAGCGGAAUUCCUAGUGUAGCGGUGAAAUGCGUAGAUAUUAGGAGGAACACCAGUGGCGAAGGCGGCUUGCUGGACAUUAACUGACGCUGAGGCGCGAAAGCGUGGGGAGCAAACAGGAUUAGAUACCCGUGUAGUCC
rnacentral:rRNA from 1 species